rnacentral:lncRNA from 1 species
GCCGGGGCCGCCUAAAGAAGAGGCUGUGCUUUGGGGCUCCGGCUCCUCAGAGAGCCUCGGCUAGGUAGGGGAUCGGGACUCUGGCGGGAGGGCGGCUUGGUGCGUUUGCGGGGAUGGGCGGCCGCGGCAGGCCCUCCGAGCGUGGUGGAGCCGUUCUGUGAGACAGCCGGAUCAUUCCUUGAGGACAGGACAGUGCUUGUUUAAGGCUAUAUUUCUGCUGUCUGAGCAGCAACAGGUCUUCGAGAUCAACAUGAUGUUCAUAAUCCCAAGAUGUUGCCAUUUAUGUUCUCAGAAGCAAGCAGAGGCAUGAUGGUCAGUGACAGUAAUGUCACUGUGUUAAAUGUUGCUAUGCAGUUUGGAUUUUUCUAAUGUAGUGUAGGUAGAACAUAUGUGUUCUGUAUGAAUUAAACUCUUAAGUUACACCUUGUAUAAUCCAUGCAAUGUGUUAUGCAAUUACCAUUUUAAGUAUUGUAGCUUUCUUUGUAUGUGAGGAUAAAGGUGUUUGUCAUAAAAUGUUUUGAACAUUUCCCCAAAGUUCCAAAUUAUAAAACCACAACGUUAGAACUUAUUUAUGAACAAUGGUUGUAGUUUCAUGCUUUUAAAAUGCUUAAUUAUUCAAUUAACACCGUUUGUGUUAUAAUAUAUAUAAAACUGACAUGUAGAAGUGUUUGUCCAGAACAUUUCUUAAAUGUAUACUGUCUUUAGAGAGUUUAAUAUAGCAUGUCUUUUGCAACAUACUAACUUUUGUGUUGGUGCGAGCAAUAUUGUGUAGUCAUUUUGAAAGGAGUCAUUUCAAUGAGUGUCAGAUUGUUUUGAAUGUUAUUGAACAUUUUAAAUGCAGACUUGUUCGUGUUUUAGAAAGCAAAACUGUCAGAAGCUUUGAACUAGAAAUUAAAAAGCUGAAGUAUUUCAGAAGGGAAAUAAGCUACUUGCUGUAUUAGUUGAAGGAAAGUGUAAUAGCUUAGAAAAUUUAAAACCAUAUAGUUGUCAUUGCUGAAUAUCUGGCAGAUGAAAAGAAAUACUCAGUGGUUCUUUUGAGCAAUAUAACAGCUUGUUAUAUUAAAAAUUUUCCCCACAGAUAUAAACUCUAAUCUAUAACUCAUAAAUGUUACAAAUGGAUGAAGCUUACAAAUGUGGCUUGACUUGUCACUGUGCUUGUUUUAGUUAUGUGAAAGUUUGGCAAUAAACCUAUGUCCUAAAUAGUCAAACUGUGGAAUGACUUUUUAAUCUAUUGGUUUGUCUAGAACAGUUAUGUUGCCAUUUGCCCUAAUGGUGAAAGAAAAAGUGGGGAGUGCCUUGGCACUGUUCAUUUGUGGUGUGAACCAAAGAGGGGGGCAUGCACUUACACUUCAAACAUCCUUUUGAAAGACUGACAAGUUUGGGUCUUCACAGUU